AUUGUAAGGCUUAUAUAAUCGAUUAUAUAGGUCCAGAUUUAAAAGACAUGUUUAAAAAUCAUUUUGGCUAAAAUGUAAAUCAUUUUGUUUUAAAUCAAGGAUGCAUGUUUUGAUGAAAAAUGAUUUUACAAGAGAAGCCAAGUCUUGAAUCAAUUGUCGGAUCAAGAGCACAAAUAUAAAUAUGACUCAACCAAGUCUUCAAUUAUUUUCUUCUCUUGAUCUUGUCUUGACCUUCUUGUUUUCGUUCUCCAAUUUUGGUCCGUUGUUUCCAUUUGCAUAUCAUGUCUACAAAACAAAUAUGCUUUAGUAUAAAUAAAAGUAUAUCUCAAUAAUAACUUACAAUCAUUUGGCAUGUAUAAUAUUUUCCAUCUUCAUCGGUUUGUCAUUUAUCAAAACCUACAAAUAUGAACACAUUAGUUUUAACAACAUAAUAAAUGUGACCUAACAGAGCCAAGACAACUGGCCAUGUGCUAUAUGAGAUAGACUUAGACUUGAAUGGAUUAAAUCCAUCUGAAGCCAAUCCAAGACUAACAUUUCGAGGAUCUUGAGAAAAAUCUUGAUGCGAUUCAUCAAAUUUUCUCCAAGCAAUACUAUCAGCAGGAUGCCGUAUUACCCCGUCUUUUAUGCAACCUUCCGCAUGCCAUCUCAUAUUAGUAGAUGUUUUAGAUGACAUGAAUAACCUUUGAAGCCUCGGUAUCAAUGGAAAGUAAAUAAAUACCUUUGCCGAAAUUUUUGAGGUUUCCAAACUACCAGAUUCACCUACAAAUUGUUUGUAUCUUGGAGCUUUGCAAAACUUACAAUCAGUUCGAUCUUUUGUCUCACUCUAAUAGAUCAUACAAUCAUUUGGACAUACAUGUAUUUUUUUGUAUUCGAAUCUUUAAUAAUUUUUUUGCAUCAUUAAAGGACUUAGGUAAUGUUUCACCUUGAGGAAAUACAUCCUUUAACAACUCUAACAACAUGGAAAAUGAAUUGUUACUCCACCCAUUGAGACACUUUAAAUGUAAUAGACGAACAAGAAAAGAAAGAAGUGAAUAUCUGCUUCCAGGAUAUAAUUCAUGCUCAGCUUCUUUCAAUAAGUUAAAAAACUUUUUAGUUUUCUUAUCAAAUCCCACAUUAUGUUGAUUAUACCCAUCAAAACUAUCACCACGAGUGUCCAUAUUAAUAAAGUCACUAGUAGGAGGAACUCCAAAAGCAUCAUGCACCAAGUUUUUUAUUUCAUCACCUAUAUCUAAUCUAUCCACGGACAUUUGAUGAAGAUGAUGUCUCACCAUGAAAAAUCCAAUUAACAUAAUUAGGUAGAAACCCAUCAACCACAAUAUGUUCAAUAAUCAACUCUUUCGGGAUAAAUUUCUUACUACGACAUUUCCGACAUGGACACAAGAUUUCAGAUGCAUUACGCCUAUCUAAUGAGGCAAAUGGAGAAAAUUUUUUGGCUCCAUUCUCAUAUAGAGGAUCAUUCCUAUUCAAUAUAUUUAUCCAACACUUAUCCAUUAAGAAUAACCUAUUCAUAUAGCAAAAAAAUCAACUAUAAAAGAGUACCUAUAGAUAGAACUAAAAAAUCAUAUCACAGAAUACCAAUAUAUAUUAUAAUUUAUACAAUUUACUAAUGACUAUACAAAUGUAUUCACUCAGAGCGUGGAAAAAAUAUAUCUAGUUUUUUAUUUUUUUCAAGUGAAUCUUACAAAGUAAUAUUCGCCAAAUACUAAAUUACAUUUCACUCUCUUAAAGAAUAUUCAGGAACUUCCUGAAACUAACACCUAUACCAAGCAUUUGAAGACAUUUUUGCAGGCACAAAUAUAAGUCAAAAAAAAUUGGCUUGCUUCUCUCUGCAACAUUUGACCAACAUAAACAGUGGAUGCACAUUUACCAAAUCAUACCCGAGUCUAUUAUACAACUUAAGACUUGAUUUUAUAUGACAAAAAACUUAUAUCCAAUUUUAUAAAUGUACCAAACAACAAACACCCAGAAACACACCAAAAAAAUCAAAAUCAAUCUACAAAUCAAUACCUAAAAGAGAAAAUUGUUAAUUCAAAUCUGAAUAACUAAGAAAAAUAAAGAAGUUUGUUAACCCAAAUCCGAACAACUAAGAAAACUGUCAACUAAAGUGGGUACCUUCAAUUUGUAAAAAAUAACCUUUGUGAGCAAAAGCCUCAGAGAUUUUCAUCUCCAAGUAUCUAUUAUAGCACAGUGGAAUGCAAAAAAUUAGGUUUUUGGUAGAAUUCUAACUAAGGAAGGAAAACUAUAUUUUUUAGAAUUGGGAGGAGGGAAGCAAAAUUCUUACCGCCAAAAUAUUUUCCUUCUUAAUCUCCAAUACUCUCCAUACAUAGCUCCUUUUGAGUCUUGGGGUGGAGGGAGCGUACUUGAGAAAUUGAUUUUAGAUUGAGAGAAGAGAGGGGAAUGGGUAUUGAGGUGUACGGCUUUCUCAAGUUUGGACUCUUGUUAUACUUAGUUUCAUGUAUAUUUUAAAAAGCGAGGACGUGGGCAUUUCACUUAAUAUCGGAGGAGGCGUUAGCCUCAUGAAUCUUUAAA
rnacentral:lncRNA from 1 species